ACAACAACCCUAAUUCAUUCAUUUAAUGGGAAGGAAAAAAAGAGUGGUUUCAGGUAGCUAGAGCUCUAGAGGGUCCUGCACUUAUAUAUACAUAUGUGAAUCCCAUAACAAAGAUGUGAGCAACUGAGCAUGAAUGUGAGGAUCUUUCAGAUCUGACUCAAUAAUCACAGAGAACACACAUGCUUGCUGGGAAAGAAAAGAGAGAGAAAAGAGAGAGGGGGAGGAGGGAAGCAUGAUGAUGAGAUCAAAGAGAAGAGACUGAGUCACUGAGAUAUGUGGAGUAGAGGAGUGUGGAGCUACAGAGAUGGAUAAAAAGAGACUGACAGAAGAGAGUGAGCACACGCUCUCAGGUGAUUGUAUGAGGGCAUGCAAUUGCGGGUGCGUGCUCACUUCUCUAUCUGUCAGUUACUUGUUCUCUUAGCUUCCUUCUCUUCCUCCCUUUCUCUGUGUCUUAACUCUAUUCUCGUGCCUUUUUAUUUUCGGUUCUUACUCUCUAAUUAUUUUUCUUUAUUGUUAUUAUUAUAUGUCUCAACUCUAUCUCAUGUAUAUAUGUAUUUUCUGGACCUGAUGAACCCUGAUAAUUAAUUAUUAUUAGUUCGCACUUCGCAGCACACUUGGAUAUGACAUACGAAUAGGUUUUUGACACAUACUCCUGUAAGUAGUAUGGUGUAUUCAAAUCUCUCUUUGACGCUUUUUUCCCGAUAAGGAUGAGAAAAAGCAAAGCAUCUAUCUUCAUUAUAUUGGCAUUUGUCCACUGUGUUUUUGCAGUUUCAAGUUGAUUCAUGUCAUUUCUUUCUCUCCUCUCUGUAUAUAUAUUUUUUCUUUUUUUUUAUCUAUUUAUCAUAUUACAUACUAUUUUUUUAAAAUUUUUUAAAGCACACAAUAUCUAUAUUAUAGUAUAAAAAAGCGUUUAAAUAUGUCGGUAUACCAGUAUUUUAAUAAAUUUUUAUAGUUGAUCUUAAUUAUAUAUAUUUUUUAUAAUUAAAAUUAAUAAUUUUUAAUUAUUAAAACACCACUAUAUCGGUACACUCUAAAUUUUUUUUUUUAUAAAAAUUUUUCUAUAAGGUGGGUGGUGGUGGUGGGAGGUUCAAAGCGUGACUUUUGAUGGUACUUUCUUUUCAUUGGGAUGGAACAAGAAGGUUGAAGUCGAAACCAAAAUCCAAAUUGAGUUCGUCAAGGCCAAAAUAUUUAAUUACUUGUUCAGCUUUGCUGUUUGGGUUCCAUUGGAGGGUUGUCUAAGUUAGAAUUUGUCAAUUUUUAUCACAGAUUCACAAAGUUAGUCGAUUUUGCCACUGAACUGAUCUGUAAAGAACUCCAAGCACUGAAACCACUACUUAGGUACAUAUAAACACUACUUAUAUUAGAUCAUGAAGAAUGAUUUGGUGACCUAUUUCCUAGAUCUGAUUUCUGAUUCAAGGGUAGAGUUUGGUAAAUUUAAUUCAAUGCAGCAACAAACACAUAUUCAAGUGGACUAGUAUCUUGUCAUGAGCUGUGGAUUUCUUUGAGUUUCCUGCAAGAUUUAAUUUGAUUAUCAAAACUGUGUUGGCACAGAAUCAUACACUCUAUGUUAGUUGUACACUAAUUCAUAUGCAAAGGCUGAAGCUGCUUGUAAACCUGCACAUUCAAUAUACAGUAUAGCUUUUAUCAUAACAUUUA